ensembl:lncRNA
GGGAAAGGAAGGAUAUAUAGAAAGAAGAAAAAAGUUAUUUAUUUUGUCAUUGCCACAGUUUAAAAAAUAUCACUGAAUACUUGUAGGAUAUUGCAAACUGAAGGGAAUUAAAAUAAAAUCUCCCCAGAAAAAGGAACCUUACUCCAAGUUAGAUAAAAAAUACUCUCUGCAUGAGUAAUUGGAUCCCUAAAUGUAAUGAAAUGUUGGCGGAACGUUGUGCUGCAUACCAAAUACUCCCUUUAACAAGCUGAAAUCUGAAAACGGUGGAAACAUAGGUCAGAGUUUCUGCUCAGAAAUGAUAGCACAAGAACAAGGAGCUGCAUUAGAAAUGGGUUUCCCAUUCAUAAAUAUAUGAUAAGCAUUGUUUGGAAGAGGCUUCUUUUUUCAUGAACAGCUAGAGUCAGAAGGGAACAAAAGCUUCAAAUGAAAACCCACCGGGCUUAAGGAGACUGACACAACCCAUUAGGAGAAUGACAUUUUUCUUCCUGAGAUAGUAUAUUGUCACUUGACAGAAAUUAAGAGAAGAAAUAAAAAAUGCAUUUUAUGUACUGUGGCAAUACAUUUGUAUUGGUGAAGUUUUAGUGGAAAUAUCAUAUCUCACAAAAAUAGAAUACAAUAACGGGUGAAAUUAUUUGCAGGCAUUGGAGCUAUUAAUAACGUGGACUCAGGUUGUCACCACUCUGGAAAAAAAGUCAAAGAUGAGAUAUUGCAUGAACGCAUUUGCAAGAGCUCUCCCUGUCCAUUUCCUCUCUCCAGGUAUGGAGUUUUCUGUGCAACGUGGAACUAGGAUGGAUCAGGCAGAAAUUGGAGCUGGAUAAGUUUUCAGUGGUACAGGCAUUGCAAGGUAUAAGCAGAAAAGCCACAGGAAGCCUAACACAGCAUGAAUGUUACUCGAUGAACCCUGACAUGACAGUGGGAUGCUGGAGGACAAGGAUUUUAAGUCUUGAUUCUCCCAGCUUCCAAACUACUACUCCAGUUUUAUGGAACGUGGAUGUCCUGCCUACUAGGAAUAACUUCAGUUAUCUUCUGUUGAUGUCUGGAGAUGGGAACAGAUGCAAACAUAGAGAGAAACAGAUACUUCAGUGCCAGAAACACUAAAGGCAGUUACAGAAGUCUCAAGGACAAAGGUCUCUUCAACUUUAUGUGCUCUGCUUCGUGAUCCCAUUGCCGCUGAUAGUGCGCUGGGAAGUGACAGAACGUCCACAGGCUGAAAACAAAACCUCCAGAAGUGUGCAAGCUGCUGAGACCGGAUUCCUCUGUCCCUGUUUGCCUCCCUUUCCACCAUAUGAUGGUGUUCAGGAGGAUCGUGGCAGUGAUGGGGAUAGUGGCAAACAGCAAGAGCAUCCUGUUCCUUCUUCCACUGCCUCCAAAUAGUAGUAAAAUGCAUUAAUUAUGCAACAUCCUCGGGAGUAAAUAUUGUAAAUUAAUGUACCAUUAGAUUUGUUAUACUUCAGAUACUAAUAGCUUCUGUUACAAAGUACAUUAAAACCCACAGCAGUAAUGUCUGCGGCAGCCUGGAUAUCAGUAAGCUCAUAUUACAUUUAUAACAACAGCUUUUCUUCUGUUUCCUUUUUUGUAUAGAAUAUGUUUGACGCUUUAUUUUUGUAUUGUGGUUCAGGGAGUCUUUUAGUGAAGCCUCAUGGCUAAUUUUGGGGGACUGAAGACAUUCAGACAUUACAAGCCUGAUCAUGCCAGCCACCUGCUGCAUCUACAUGACAGAAACAGGGAGGUGGUAUCAGUCUGUAUUUGCCACUUUCCUUUUGUGACUUGUGUGUGAGAGUCAGAAGAAACAUCCAUAUGGCUCAUAUGUGCAUGACAGAUCAGCA